rnacentral:rRNA from 1 species
UGAAUUCACACGGCAGCGGGGGCUUCGCCCUGCCGGCGAGUGGCAAGCGGGUGAUUUUGUAUCGGAACGUGCUCAUGUCUGGGGGAAUGACUUACCGAAAGCUACCCUAAUACCCCAUACCCCCUGAGGGGGAAAGCGGGGGAUUCUUCAGAACCUCGCGCGAUUGGAGCGGCCGAUGUCGGAUUAUCUUGUAGGUGAGGUAAAGGCUCCCCUACGCGACAAUCCGUAGCGGGUCUGAGAGGAUGAUCCCCCACACUGGGACUGACACACGGCCCCUACUCCUACGGGAGGAGCAGUGGGUAAUUUUGGACAAUGGGCGCCGCCUGAUCCCCCCCUGCCGCGUGAAUGAAGAACGCCUUCUGUUUGUAUAGCUCUUUCGGCCGGAAAGAACUCGUGUUUUCCAACUUAGGCGAUGGAUGACCCUACAGGACUAACAACCGCCAGCUUACUAC